CCUACGGGUGACUGCAGUAGGGAAUAUUGCACAAUGGGGGGAACCCUGAUGCAGCGACGCCGCGUGGGUGAAGAAGUUUUUCGGUUUGUAAAGCUCUAUCAUCAGAGAAGAUAAUGACGGUAUCUAACGAAUAAGCACCGGCUAACUACGUGCCAGCAGCCGCGGUAAUACGUAGGGUGCAAGCGUUAUCCGGAUUUACUGGGUGUAAAGGGAGCGUAGGCGGGAUAGCAAGUCUGAUGUGAAAUCCCACGGCUUAACUACAGGACUGCUUUUGAAACUGCUAUGCUAGAGUGUGGGAGAGGUAAGUGGAAUUCUUGGUGUAGCGGUGAAAUGCGUAGAGAUUAAGAGGAAUACUAGUGGCGAAGGCGGCCUACUAGAACGUAACUGACGUUGAUGCGCGAAAGCGUGGGGAGCAAACAGGAUUAGAUACCCCUGUAGUC
rnacentral:rRNA from 1 species